AGUGAACGCUGGCGGUAGGCCUAACACAUGCAAGUCGAACGGCAGCACAGUAAGAGCUUGCUCUUACGGGUGGCGAGUGGCGGACGGGUGAGGAAUACAUCGGAAUCUACUUUUUCGUGGGGGAUAACGUAGGGAAACUUACGCUAAUACCGCAUACGACCUACGGGUGAAAGCAGGGGAUCUUCGGACCUUGCGCGAUUGAAUGAGCCGAUGUCGGAUUAGCUAGUUGGCGGGGUAAAGGCCCACCAAGGCGACGAUCCGUAGCUGGUCUGAGAGGAUGAUCAGCCACACUGGAGCUGAGACACGGUCCAGACUCCUACGGGAGGCAGCAGUGGGGAAUAUUGGACAAUGGGCGCAAGCCUGAUCCAGCCAUACCGCGUGGGUGAAGAAGGCCUUCGGGUUGUAAAGCCCUUUUGUUGGGAAAGAAAAGCAGCAGGUUAAUACCCCGCUGUUCUGACGGUACCCAAAGAGUAAGCACCGGCUAACUUCGUG
rnacentral:rRNA from 1 species